ACCUGGCUGACUCAGUGGGAAGAGUGUGUGACUCUGGAUCUCAAGUCGUGAGUUCGAGCCCCAUGUUGGGUU